UAGGGAAUCUUCCGCAAUGGACGCAAGUCUGACGGAGCAACGCCGCGUGAGUGAAGAAGGAUUUCGGUUCGUAAAACUCUGUUGUUAGAGAAGAACAGCGCAUAGAGUAACUGUUAUGCGUGUGACGGUAUCUAACCAGAAAGCCACGGCUAACUACGUGCCAGCAGCCGCGGUAAUACGUAGGUGGCAAGCGUUGUCCGGAUUUAUUGGGCGUAAAGCGAGCGCAGGCGGUCAAUUAAGUCUGAUGUGAAAGCCCCCGGCUCAACCGGGGAGGGUCAUUGGAAACUGGUUGACUUGAGUGCAGAAGAGGAGAGUGGAAUUCAAAGUGUAGCGGUGAAAUGCGUAGAUAUAUGGGGGAACACCAGUGGCGAAGGCGACUCUCUGGUCUGUAACUGACGCGGAGGCUCGAAAGCGUGGGUAGCAAACAGG
rnacentral:rRNA from 1 species